GACGUAGGAUGCGAGCGUUAUUCGGAUUUAUUGGGUACGUAAGCGUGCGUAGGCGGUGUUAAGUCUGGUGAUUGAAACUAGGGCCUCAACCCUGUGGUGACAUCGGAUACCUUGGGCAGCUUGAGUGACGGUAGGGGAAGGUGGAAUUCCGAGUGGUAGCGGUGGAAAUGACGUAGAUAUUCGGAAGAACACCGGUGGCGCAAGGCGUACCUUCAUGGG
rnacentral:rRNA from 1 species